rnacentral:rRNA from 1 species
GACGUAGGGUGCAAGCGUUGUCCGGAUUUAUUGGGCGUAAAGAGCUCGUAGGCGGCUCAGUAAGUCAGGUGUGAAACCUCCAGGCUCAACCUGGAGACGCCACCUGAUACUGCUGUGGCUAGAGUCCGGUAGGGGAGCGUGGAAUUCCUGGUGUAGCGGUGAAAUGCGCAGAUAUCAGGAGGAACACCAGCGGCGAAGGCGGCGCUCUGGGCCGGAACUGACGCUGAGGAGCGAAAGCGUGGGUAGCAAACAGG